UUCACUAUUUGAGAGACGUUGGCUAGAAUUCAAUUUUCAGAUAAACCCUCGACCUUGUGUGUGUUUCCAUGGAUCUUCUUAGGAAUCUGAUAGUUCUGAAUUUGUGUGGGAAGAUAUUCACUCCAGCUUUGCAAUGGUGGUGCUCAGAUAUAAUCAGAGUCCCAUAAUUUUGUAAAUUGUUGGAGAAUCACACUCUGACUGGACUUACAACUUUUCUUUCUAAUGGAAGACUGGGAAUUACAGCCCUACACAGCACAACUUCAAAACCUAAUCGGUUCAUGGGGAUCAUUUCCAAAUGCAAAGGAGGAAUACCAAACAAGCCCCAGUGAAGAUCAGGACCCCAUUGUGCUAGGUGCUGUACAAACACAUAGGAAAACAGAAUUCCUUCUUGGAACAAUUUAGCAUCUAAGGUCUCAACCCUGAAAACAUUUAAUUUGCACACAAGUAACUUUAUUCACCUGAAUAAUCUGAGUGGGGAAAGUCACUUACAUCUGUAUGUUUUUUGCAGGAAAAGGUCUAUAAAGAGAACAUAUAGGCUGUGAAUGGGAUGCAAUACAAAGCAAAUCUUUGAACUGUAAAGUUUAUGACAUCAUGCUAAUUAACAACAACAACGUCAAAUAGUAGCAGUUACCUCUGUGACUCCAAUAUUCUUGUGAGCAGCUGAGUAAGGUGGUUUGAGGUGUAUGUGUGUGUCAGAAUUUAUAGAGAACUACCAGGAAUGGAUGAAGAUCUCAUGAAUCACCCCUCACUGACCUAGGCCAGGACUACACUAGAAAAGGUUUGCUGUUAUAGCUACAAACUGGCAAACUCACCUAGUGCAGAUGUAGCUUAUACUGGCAAAAAGGGCUCUUAUUGGCAUAUCUUGUAUUGGUUCAGUGAGUGAAAUAAGACAGUGGUUCUCAACUUUUCCAGAC